rnacentral:rRNA from 1 species
UACGUAGGGUGCGAGCGUUAAUCGGAAUUACUGGGCGUAAAGCGUGACGUAGGCGGUUCUCCAAGUCCGUUGUGAAAGCCCCGGGCCUCAACCUGGGAAUGGCAGUGGAAACUAGGGGACUGGAAUCUGGCAGAGGGGGGUGGAAUGCCGCGUGUAGCAGUGAAAUGCGUAGAGAUGCGGCGGAACACCGAUGGCGAAGGCAGCCCCCUGGGCUGAGAUUGACGCUCAGGCACGAAAGCGUGGGGAGCAAACAGG